ensembl:lncRNA
AGGAUGGAGGAGGAGAGGAUGGAGAGAGGAGAGGAUGGAGGGAGGAGAGGAUGGAGAGAGGAGAGGAUGGAGAGAGGAGAGGAUGGAGAGAGGAGAGGAUGGAGGGAGGAGAGGAUGGAGGAGGAGAGGAUGGAGAGAGGAGAGGAUGGAGAGAGGAGAGGAUGGAGAGAGGAGAGGAUGGAGGGAGGAGAGGAUGGAGAGAGGAGAGGAUGGAGAGAGGAGAGGAUGGAGAGGAGAGGAUGGAGAGAGGAGAGGAUGGAGGGAGGAGAGGAUGGAGAGAGGAGAGGAUGGAGGGAGGAGAGGAUGGAGGGAGGAGAGGAUGGAGAGAGGAGAGGAUGGAGGGAGGAGAGGAUGGAGGGAGGAGAGGAUGGGGAGGAGAGGAUGGAGGGAGGAGAGGAGGAGAGGAGAGGAUGGAGGGAGGAGAGGAUGGAGGGAGGAGGAUGGAGGGAGGAGAGGAUGGAGGGAGGAGAUGGAUGGAGGAGGAGAGAUGGAGGGAGGAGAGGAUGGAGAGAGGAGAGGAUGGAGGGAGGAGAGGAUGGAGAGAGGAGAGGAUGGAGGGAGGAGAGGAUGGAGAGAGGAGAGGAUGGAGAGAGGAGAGGAUGGAGGGAGGAGAGGAUGGAGAGAGGAGAGGAUGGAGAGAGGAGAGGAUGGAGGGAGGAGAGGAUGGAGGGGAGGAUGGAGGGAGGAGAGGAUGGAGGGAGGAGAGGAUGGAGAGAGGAGAGGAUGGAGGGAGGAGAGGAUGGAGAGAGGAGAGGAUGGAGGGGAGGAUGGAGGGAGGAGAGGAUGGAGAGACAAGAGAAAGAAGGGGGGUUGUUUCUCUCUCAUAUAUUGUUUUAAAUAUGCCAUUAGAACGAAAUGUUGUGUUUCCUUGUUUAAAUCCAUAAAGUUUGUAAUACAAAAAAAAAGAACAAACAAAUUAAAUAGUGUCGACGGGGCACCGGCGAAUCACAUCUCCAGCUUAGACCACGCCCCCCUCCCCCUAGUCUCCAAUCUCUCAGCCCAUUGGUUGUUCAAGUGGUCUUCCAAAGUUUUGUUUUCAAAACUCUGAUUGGUCUUUACAACAAAAAACACCGCAUGACUGUCAGUCUAAAGCCUCCCACCACUCCUGUGGUCCAGACAGGUUGUGGACAACCAACAGUCAAGUCCCACUUAAAAGAGAAAACAAAGCCCUGUGAGUUGAGACAGACGGUUCGACCAGCCCUGUGAUUGAGACAGUUCACCCCAGCCCUGUGAGUUGAGACAGUUCACCCCAGCCCUGUGAGUUGAGACAGACGGUUCGACCAGCCCUGUGAGUUGAGACAGACGGUUCAACCAGCCCUGUGAGUUGAGACAGUUCACCCCAGCCCUGUGAGUUGAGACAGACCCCAGCCCUGUGAGUUGAGACAGACAGACCCCAGCCCUGUGAGUCAGACGGUUCGACCCAGCCCUUCGACCAGCCCUGUGAGUUGAGACAGACGGUUCGACCCAGCCCUGUGAGUUGAGACAGACGGUUCGACCCAGCCCUGUGAGUUGAGACAGACGGUUCGACCCAGCCCUGUGAGUUGAGACAGACGGUUCGACCCAGCCCUGUGAGUUGAGACAGACGGUUCGACCCAGCCCUGUGAGUUGAGACAGACGGUUC